CGUUAUAACCGGCGAUGUCCGAAUGGGGAAACCCGGUGCACUUCGGUGCAUCAUCGUUAGCUGAAUACAUAGGCUAACGAGGCGAACCGGGGGAACUGAAACAUCUAAGUACCCCGAGGAAAAGAAAUCAACCGAGAUUCCCCCAGUAGCGGCGAGCGAACGGGGAACAGCCCAGAGCCUGAAUCAGCUUGUGUGUCAGUGGAACGGUCUGGAAAGGCCGGCGAUACAGGGUGACAGCCCCGUACACGAAGGCACACAGGCUGUGAGCUCGAUGAGUAGGGCGGGACACGUGAUAUCCUGUCUGAAGAUGGGGGGACCAUCCUCCAAGGCUAAAUACUCCUGACUGACCGAUAGUGAACCAGUACCGUGAGGGAAAGGCGAAAAGAACCCCGGCGAGGGGAGUGAAACAGAACCUGAAACCGUGUACGUACAAGCAGUGGGAGCCUUCGUAAGAGGGUGACUGCGUACCUUUUGUAUAAUGGGUCAGCGACUUAUAUUCUGUAGCAAGGUUAACCGUAUAGGGGAGCCGAAGGGAAACCGAGUCUUAACCGGGCGUUAAGUUGCAGGGUAUAGACCCGAAACCCGGUGAUCUAGCCAUGGGCAGGUUGAAGGUUGGGUAACACUAACUGGAGGACCGAACCGACUAAUGUUGAAAAAUUAGCGGAUGACCUGUGGCUGGGGGUGAAAGGCCAAUCAAACCGGGAGAUAGCUGGUUCUCCCCGAAAGCUAUUUAGGUAGCGCCUCGUGAAUUCAUCUCCGGGGGUAGAGCACUGUUUCGGCUAGGGGGCCAUCCCGGCUUACCAACCCGAUGCAAACUGCGAAUACCGGAGAAUGUUAUCACGGGAGACACACGGCGGGUGCUAACGUCCGUCGUGAAGAGGGAAACAACCCAGACCGCCAGCUAAGGUCCCAAAGUCAUGGUUAAGUGGGAAACGAUGUGGGAAGGCCCAGACAGCCAGGAUGUUGGCUUAGAAGCAGCCAUCAUUUAAAGAAAGCGUAAUAGCUCACUGGUCGAGUCGGCCUGCGCGGAAGAUGUAACGGGGCUAAACCAUGCACCGAAGCUGCGGCAGCGACGCUUAUGCGUUGUUGGGUAGGGGAGCGUUCUGUAAGCCUGCGAAGGUGUGCUGUGAGGCAUGCUGGAGGUAUCAGAAGUGCGAAUGCUGACAUAAGUAACGAUAAAGCGGGUGAAAAGCCCGCUCGCCGGAAGACCAAGGGUUCCUGUCCAACGUUAAUCGGGGCAGGGUGAGUCGACCCCUAAGGCGAGGCCGAAAGGCGUAGUCGAUGGGAAACAGGUUAAUAUUCCUGUACUUGGUGUUACUGCGAAGGGGGGACGGAGAAGGCUAUGUCGGCCGGGCGACGGUUGUCCCGGUUUAAGCGUGUAGGCUGACUUUCCAGGCAAAUCCGGAAGGUUAAGGCUGAGGCGUGAUGACGAGGCACCACGGUGCUGAAGUGACAAAUGCCCUGCUUCCAGGAAAAGCCUCUAAGCAUCAGGUAACAUCAAAUCGUACCCCAAACCGACACAGGUGGUCAGGUAGAGAAUACCAAGGCGCUUGAGAGAACUCGGGUGAAGGAACUAGGCAAAAUGGUGCCGUAACUUCGGGAGAAGGCACGCUGACAUGUAGGUGAAGCCCCUGCGGGUGGAGCUGAAGUCAGUCGAAGAUACCAGCUGGCUGCAACUGUUUAUUAAAAACACAGCACUGUGCAAACACGAAAGUGGACGUAUACGGUGUGACGCCUGCCCGGUGCCGGAAGGUUAAUUGAUGGGGUUAUCGCAAGAGAAGCUCCUGAUCGAAGCCCCGGUAAACGGCGGCCGUAACUAUAACGGUCCUAAGGUAGCGAAAUUCCUUGUCGGGUAAGUUCCGACCUGCACGAAUGGCGUAAUGAUGGCCAGGCUGUCUCCACCCGAGACUCAGUGAAAUUGAACUCGCUGUGAAGAUGCAGUGUACCCGCGGCAAGACGGAAAGACCCCGUGAACCUUUACUACAGCUUGACACUGAACAUUGAGCCUUGAUGUGUAGGAUAGGUGGGAGGCUUUGAAGCGUGGACGCCAGUCUGCGUGGAGCCGACCUUGAAAUACCACCCUUUAAUGUUUGAUGUUCUAACCUGGCGCCGUGAUCCGGCGUGGGGACAGUGUCUGGUGGGUAGUUUGACUGGGGCGGUCUCCUCCCAAAGUGUAACGGAGGAGCACGAAGGUCAGCUAAUCCUGGUCGGACAUCAGGAGGUUAGUGCAAUGGCAUAAGCUGGCUUGACUGCGAGAGUGACGGCUCGAGCAGGUGCGAAAGCAGGUCAUAGUGAUCCGGUGGUUCUGUAUGGAAGGGCCAUCGCUCAACGGAUAAAAGGUACUCCGGGGAUAACAGGCUGAUACCGCCCAAGAGUUCAUAUCGACGGCGGUGUUUGGCACCUCGAUGUCGGCUCAUCACAUCCUGGGGCUGAAGUAGGUCCCAAGGGUAUGGCUGUUCGCCAUUUAAAGUGGUACGCGAGCUGGGUUUAGAACGUCGUGAGACAGUUCGGUCCCUAUCUGCCGUGGGCGCUGGAGAAUUGAGGGGGGCUGCUCCCAGUACGAGAGGACCGGAGUGGACGCAUCACUGGUGUUCGGGUUGUCAUGCCAAUGGCACUGCCCGGUAGCUAAAUGCGGAAGAGAUAAGUGCUGAAAGCAUCUAAGCACGAAACUUGCCCCGAGAUGAGUUCUCCCUGAGACUGUAAGUCUCCUGAAGGAACGUUGAAGACGACGACGUUGAUAGGCCGGGUGUGUAAGCGCAGCGAUGCGUUGAGCUAACCGGUACUAAUGAACCGUGAGGCUUAACCUUACAACGCCAAAGAAGU
rnacentral:rRNA from 1 species